rnacentral:rRNA from 1 species
UACCAGCACCCCCGAGUGGUCGGGACGUUUUAUUGGGCCUAAAGCAUCCGUAGCCGGUUCUACAAGUCUUCCGUUAAAUCCAACUGCUUAACAGGUGGGCUGCGGAAGAUACUAUAGAGCUAGGAGGCGGGAGAGGCAAGCGGUACUCGAUGGGUAGGGGUAAAAAUCCGUUGAUCCAUUGAAGACCACCAGUGGCGAAAGCGGCUCACUGACCACAACUGACGCUGAGGCGCGAAAGCUAGGGGGAGCAAACAGG